rnacentral:rRNA from 1 species
CCCGGGCCUUGUACACACCGCCCGUCACGUCGCGAAAGUCGGUAACACCCGAAGCCAGUGGCCCAACCCCUUGUGGGAGGGAGCUGUCGAAGGUGGGACUGGCGAUUGGGACG